rnacentral:tRNA from 1 species
GGGACAGCGGCACAACGGAUAACGCGCCUGACUACGGAUCAGGAGAUUCCAUGUUCGAAUCCUGGCUGCUCGACA